rnacentral:rRNA from 1 species
GAUGAACGCUGGCGGCGUGCUUAACACAUGCAAGUCGAACGAAGCACUCUAUUUGAUUUUCUUCGGAAAUGAAGAUUUUGUGACUGAGUGGCGGACGGGUGAGUAACGCGUGGGUAACCUGCCCCAUACAGGGGGAUAACAGUUGGAAACGACUGCUAAUACCGCAUAAGCGCACAGGAUCGCAUGGUCCGGUGUGAAAAACUCCGGUGGUAUGGGAUGGACCCGCGUCUGAUUAGCCAGUUGGCAGGGUAACGGCCUACCAAAGCGACGAUCAGUAGCCGACCUGAGAGGGUGACCGGCCACAUUGGGACUGAGACACGGCCCAAACUCCUACGGGAGGCAGCAGUGGGGAAUAUUGCACAAUGGGGGAAACCCUGAUGCAGCGACGCCGCGUGAGCGAAGAAGUAUUUCGGUAUGUAAAGCUCUAUCAGCAGGGAAGAAGAAUGACGGUACCUGACUAAGAAGCACCGGCU